GACGAACGCUGGCGGCGUGCUUAACACAUGCAAGUCGAACGGAAAGGCCCUGCUUUUGUGGGGUGCUCGAGUGGCGAACGGGUGAGUAACACGUGAGUAACCUGCCCUUGACUUUGGGAUAACUUCAGGAAACUGGGGCUAAUACCGGAUAGGAGCUCCUGCUGCAUGGUGGGGGUUGGAAAGUUUCGGCGGUUGGGGAUGGACUCGCGGCUUAUCAGCUUGUUGGUGGGGUAGUGGCUUACCAAGGCUUUGACGGGUAGCCGGCCUGAGAGGGUGACCGGCCACAUUGGGACUGAGAUACGGCCAAGACUCCAACGGGAGGCAACAGUGGGGAAUAUUGCACAAUGGGCGGAAGCCUGAUGCAGCAACGCCGCGUGCGGGAGGACGGCCUUCGGGUUGUAAACAGCUUUCGCCUGUAACGAGGCGUGAGUGACGGUAAUGGGUAAAGAAGCACCGGCUAACUACGU
rnacentral:rRNA from 1 species